rnacentral:rRNA from 1 species
UACGUAGGGUGCGAGCGUUGUCCGGAAUUAUUGGGCGUAAAGAGCUCGUAGGCGGUGUGUCACGUCGGCCGUGAAAACCUGCAGCUUAACUGUGGGCGUGCGGUCGAUACGGGCAUCACUGGAGUUCGGCAGGGGAGACUGGAAUCCUGGUGUAGCGGUGAAAUGCGCAGAUAUCAGGAGGAACACCGGUGGCGAAGGCGGGUCUCUGGGCCGAUACUGACGCUGAGGAGCGAAAGCGUGGGGAGCAAACAGG